GCAAACUUGGUCAUUUAGAGGAAGUAAAAGUCGUAACAAGGUCUCCGUAGGUGAACCUGCGGAGGGAUCAUUAAUGAACGAUCAUCUUGAUCUUCUACCCUCAACCCCUGUGGAAGUAAGUUUGUGCUUCGGCGCAGCGGUGGCCUCGGCCCCUCCGUGCCGCCUUUAUGCUUCAAGCUGUUUUUGUCAGUAUAUUUUGAAUUUCAAAACUUUCAACAAUGGAUCUCUUGGCUCUCGCAUCGAUGAAGAACGCAGC
rnacentral:misc_RNA from 1 species